GAUGAACGCUAGCGGUAUGCUUAACACAUGCAAGUCGUACGGAAAAGAAAUUUUUAGUGGCGGACGGGUGAGUAACGCGUGAGAAUUUGCCUUUAGGAAGAGGAUAACAUUUAGAAAUAAUUGCUAAAACUCUAUAUGCCGUUUGGCGAAAAAAGUAAUUUGCCUAAAGAGAAGCUCGCGUCUGAUUAGCUAGUUGGUGGGGUAAAGGCCUACCAAGGCGACGAUCAGUAGCUGGUCUGAGAGGAUGAUCAGCCACACUGGAACUGAGACACGGUCCAGACUCCUACGGGAGGCAGCAGUGAGGAAUUUUCUACAAUGGGCGAAAGCCUGAUCCAGCAAUGCCGCGUAAGUGAUGAAGGCCUUAGGGUUGUAAAGCUCUUUUACCAGGGAUGAUAAUGACAGUACCUGGAGAAUAAGCUCCGGCUAACUCCGUGCCAGCCGCCGCCGUAAAAC
rnacentral:rRNA from 1 species